rnacentral:rRNA from 1 species
UACGAAGGGGGCAAGCGUUGUUCGGAAUUAUUGGGCGUAAAGGGCGCGUAGGCGGCUCAUGAAGGCUGUGGUGAAAGUCCGGGGCUCAACCUCGGAUCGGCCGUGGCGACUCGUGGGCUGGAGCACUGUAGAGGCGGGUGGAAUUCCGGGUGUAGCGGUGGAAUGCGUAGAGAUCCGGAAGAACACCAGUGGCGAAGGCGGCCCGCUGGGCAGUGGCUGACGCUGAGGCGCGACAGCGUGGGGAGCAAACAGG